rnacentral:rRNA from 1 species
CCUACGGGUGGCAGCAGUGAGGAAUAUUGGUCAAUGGGCGCAAGCCUGAACCAGCCAAGUCGCGUGAGGGAAGACGGCCCUACGGGUUGUAAACCUUUUUUGCCGGGGAGCAAGCCUGAGCACGUGUGCCCAGGCGGAGAGUACCCGGCGAAAAAGCAUCGGCUAACUCCGUGCCAGCAGCCGCGGUAAUAAGGGGGAUGCGAGGGUUAUCCGGAUUGAUUGGGUUAAGGGGGAGCGCGGGCGGGCUGUUAGGCUGACGGUAAAAAUUCAGGGCUCAACCCUGUCGAGCCGUCGGAACUGGCAGUCUUGAGUGGGCGAGAGGUAUGCGGAAUGCGUGGUGUAGCGGUGAAAUGCAUAGAUAUCACGCAGAACGCCGAUUGCGAAGGCAGCAUACCGGCGCCCGACUGACGCUGAGGCACGAAAGCGUGGGGAUCGAACAGGAUUAGAUACCCUUGUAGUC